rnacentral:tRNA from 1 species
AGCAGCGUGGCUCAGUGGAAAGAGCACGGGCUUGGGAGUCAGAGGUCAUGGGUUUGAGUCCCAGCUCUGCUA